rnacentral:misc_RNA from 1 species
UCCGAGUUGACCCCGGCAGUCUCCCAUGAGUCCCCGGCAUCAUCCGCUGGCAACAUGGAACGAGGGUUGCGCUCGUUGCGGGACUUAACCCAACAUCUCACGACACGAGCUGACGACAACCAUGCAGCACCUGUGUUACGGUUCCCUUUCGGGCACACCUCCAUCUCUGGAGGCUUCCGUACAUGUCAAGGGUAGGUAAGGUUUUUCGCGUUGCAUCGAAUUAAUCCACAUAAUCCACCGCUUGUGCGGGUCCCCGUCAAUUCCUUUGAGUUUCAGCCUUGCGGCCGUACUCCCCAGGCGGAACACUUAACGCGUUGGCUUCGGCACAGGGGGAUUCGACUCCCCCCACACCUAGUGUUCAUCGUUUACGGCUAGGACUAC